AACUCUACAGUGCGGCCCUGGGUCCACUGGUCCAUAUUCUGACAGAUAAUUAAGAAAGCAGCAGCUUUUUCUAGACGGCUCUUCCUCAUGAUUUGCAUUUUAGCCAGAGGCGACCAGUUAUAAAAAAAACAUGAUGGAAAGAUGGUAAGAAGCCAAUUAGAUGGAUGGAUGGCUGACUGACAGCUCUCUGGUAUUACGACUCCAGAUUUCAGACUACAUAGCCUGGCAGUUUUCUACAAGAACCAACUUUUUUGCAGAAGGUCAUACAUAUGCUAUUUGAGAGUUCACAGCUAGCCCCUCACUACUCAAAUUGUGGGUGUUAUUGCCAGACUGCGGAGAUGCACAAGAAUUGACUUGAGAAGCAAGUAGAUUAUUCAUGCUCCUGCACACUCUGUUAUCUCUGGGAGUUCUUAAUCAAUGCAGGGUGAGAGCCAGUUAGCACGACUGAGGUUAGGGUAAACGGGCUGUUCAGGGAAAGAUAAAUUAAAAUGUGAUUAUUAUUCAAAUUGGAAUAUAGAGAACAUAAUCCAAGAAGGAAGAGAAGGAGAAUAAUAGAAAUAAAUAAAAACGUACCUACUGAAUCACUUGCUGUAUUGAAUCUAGUCCUUGAAAUUCCAAAGACAUUAUAAUAUGCUUUGACUAAAGGGAACGAUUUGGGAGAUUUAUACUCUAUCUAAUUGGCUCCUGAGAUAUGCUGAAAUAUAAAUUCUCACAUGCUGGAAAUGUCUACUAAAUAUACCUUGAUACAUAAAUUAAAUUAUCCUAUAGAAAAUUGUACUGUACUCAAAAAUCUAUAUACAAAUAAAAAAUAAAUUCUAAAUAACA